rnacentral:rRNA from 1 species
UAGGGAAUCUUCCACAAUGGACGCAAGUCUGAUGGAGCAACGCCGCGUGAGUGAAGAAGGCUUUCGGGUCGUAAAACUCUGUUGUUGGAGAAGAAUGGUCGGCAGAGUAACUGUUGUCGGCGUGACGGUAUCCAACCAGAAAGCCACGGCUAACUACGUGCCAGCAGCCGCGGUAAUACGUAGGUGGCAAGCGUUAUCCGGAUUUAUUGGGCGUAAAGCGAGCGCAGGCGGUUUUUAAGUCUGAUGUGAAAGCCCUCGGCUUAACCGAGGAAGUGCAUCGGAAACUGGGAAACUUGAGUGCAGAAGAGGACAGUGGAACUCCAUGUGUAGCGGUGAAAUGCGUAGAUAUAUGGAAGAACACCAGUGGCGAAGGCGGCUGUCUGGUCUGUAACUGACGCUGAGGCUCGAAAGCAUGGGUAGCGAACAGGAUUAGAUACCCUGGUAGUCCAUGCCGUAAACGAUGAAUGCUAGGUGUUGGAGGGUUUCCGCCCUUCAGUGCCGCAGCUAACGCAUUGAGCAUUCCGCCUGGGGAGUACGACCGCAAGGUUGAAAC